rnacentral:lncRNA from 1 species
ACUUCUUCUUUUACGAUUAGAAGUCGGGUCAUCAUUAUUACUAGUACUACCAGAAGCUACAAGAUUAGCAUCAUUAUUGACCCAUUCUAUAGGAUGGACAGCUCUCAUAUGUCUUACAAAUGGUCCAGUCCCUCCUAAAUUUCCUUCGGUCAAAUAUUGAAAAGUUUCGUUACAAAAUUUGCACUUAACACUAUUAGUACCUUCUAUUAUUUCAAAAAAAAUUUCAUACCGGACUUAUUCUUUUACGAUUAGAAGUCGGGUCAUUACUAUUACUACCAAAAGCUACCGGACUAGCAUCAUUAAAUAUAUUGUAAAAAUGAAAAUAUAAGCUUAAA